rnacentral:rRNA from 1 species
ACUCCAGUCGAUGCUGCUGGAGGACACUGCUAUCAGAUUUCGACAGCCAUGCAAGUCAGCUCAACGACAUGUUGGGCGGCGUACGGCUCAGUAACGCGUGGUCAAUCUACCGCAGGGAAGGGAAUACUCUCGGGAAACUGAGAUUAAUUCCAUAUAGGACAGGACACCUGGAAGGAGUCCUGUGCGAAAAAGUUGUGAAAUGGAACAUUACUGCCCUGCGAUGAGACUGCGUCGGAUCAGGCAGAUGGCGGGGUAACGGCCCACCAUACCUUUGACCCGUAGGGGAUAUGAGAGUAAGAGCCCCGAGAAGGGCACUGAGACAAUGGCCCUAGCGCUACGGCGUGCAGCAGGCGCGCAAACUCCACAAUGCGCA